rnacentral:rRNA from 1 species
UUGAACGCUGGCGGCAGGCCUAACACAUGCAAGUCGAGCGGUAGCACAGAGAGCUUGCUCUCGGGUGACGAGCGGCGGACGGGUGAGUAAUGUCUGGGAAACUGCCUGAUGGAGGGGGAUAACUACUGGAAACGGUAGCUAAUACCGCAUAAUGUCGCAAGACCAAAGUGGGGGACCUUCGGGCCUCAUGCCAUCAGAUGUGCCCAGAUGGGAUUAGCUAGUAGGUGGGGUAACGGCUCACCUAGGCGACGAUCCCUAGCUGGUCUGAGAGGAUGACCAGCCACACUGGAACUGAGACACGGUCCAGACUCCUACGGGAGGCAGCAGUGGGGAAUAUUGCACAAUGGGCGCAAGCCUGAUGCAGCCAUGCCGCGUGUGUGAAGAAGG